rnacentral:misc_RNA from 1 species
GUCAUUGCUUUAUAAUUUGAAUUGUGAACCAAUAAAAUUUUGAGUUGGUAAAAUUCAAAACUUAACAUCAUAAGUGAAAGUACAAUUAAAUUAUUGAUGUGUGUUAUAGGAAAAGAGAUUCUUAAAAUUUAUAAGCUAAUUUUUUAACUCCAAUCGAAAGUGAACGCUAUAUUUUUCAAGAGAAAAAAAAAUUACAAGAUCUUGGCUCCUAUCAUCAAUUUCUAUUCUGCACGGUUAACUUCCCCCGUUUGGGGUUGCGUUUCAAUCAGAACCGGCUUUUUACCAUUUGAAACGCAAUCCCAAAGGGCCUAAGAAAGGAAAAAUUAUUAGGUGCAUCUCUCACAAUCACAAUCAGGUGGGAUACACUUUCCAUAGCUCACUUCUCUGUGAGAGGGGAAUUAGCCCUAAGAAAAUGGUCGUUUGUUUAUCGAUCAUAGUGAAAAAUUGAAAGAAAAUAAAGGGUUUGAUUUCCGGAAGUUAUAGCAACAGAGAAAUGAGUUUAUUGAUAAGAUUAAACCCAAAAAUACUAGAAAGAAAUCAACUCAGCAGUCGAAACCAGGGAAAAAAAAACAGCAAGCAAUA